CCACAGAGCAACUAAGCCCGUGCGCCACAGCUACUGAGCCUGCACUCUAGAGCCCUCGAGCCACCACUACUGAGCCCAUAUGCCACAACUACUGAAGCCCACGCAUCUAGAGCCCGUACUCCACAACAAGAGAAGCCACCGCAAUGAGAAGCCGGCGCACCUUAACGAAGAGUAGCCCCCGCUCUCUGCAACCAGAGACUUUCCAGCUGUUCUAUCUGGCCAGGUCUGAGAAGGUGCUGCUGAACCCUCCUUUUCAGCACUUCACCUUAAGUGUGCGGCCAUUUCCACCCCCUUCCUCCUUUGCCAAACUUCAGACGCUGGGAAAACUCACAGGUGUUCAGGGUUGCAAAGCAUGUGUGGCUUAUUCUCAACACAUUCCUGAAAGCAGCAGCAACUUCUGAAACCCACCUCUUCUCUGCACAUCAGCUCUCCAACAGGUUCACAAAUAUUAUCCCCAGAGCUCUGCUGUUCGGGUUGCGAUUCAUCUGCCACUCAUGAGGAUCCUUGACACUUCAGGUAUCCAAAGAAUAAAACCUGAAAUCAAAGACUAGAAGCAGAAAAUCUGGAGGUUCUGACUUACAUGGGCUCCUGCUUCAGAUUAAUAAGAAACCAGUCCAUCAUCUGCCGCCAGCUGGACCCAGUGGAUCUCAGUGCUGCCUGCCAUCAGAAAUCUAAACCAUGCACCGAUUGCUUGCUCUGUGCUCCACUUCCACGACCCAACCCUGAACCCAACACACGACCCAAACACACAGGCAAGCCCAGCUGUGUUUUUCUGCACCCCUGAAGUCUGCAGCGGUCUGUGAUCAGGACGUAAAGUCUUAUCGAUGGCAGUGGAAAGCAGGAUGCACUCCAGAUUUUGGAUAAAAUAGCUCCAAUGCUCCUUUUCAUUUAUAUAUGACUUUACAUGACAAAGCCCAUCACAUUCAUCAUUAAUUAAGCCCACCGCUUGGUGCCCUCUGAGGCAGGGCUGAAAUAGUCUGCUCAUUUUACAGCUGACAAAACAGAUAGCAAGGCUUAGGGGUUUGCUGAAGUGAAGUGGUGUUCAACCGAGGAAGGCUGCCCCAAUUCCCUUUCUAGUUCAUUCUUUUUUGGCCUGGAAGAGGCCUUCAAAGUGCCCAGCUCUUAACUCCAAACAGCUUAAGGAAGUCAGCUGGGAAGAGUUGCUUGGCAGGGGAAUGGCAGCUGUCACAACCAGAGCACAGUGUGGGGCUUGAAUUCUUUGAAAACAGCCAAGUCAUAUUUCUCUGGCUCUCAGUGGAUGUUAAACACACAUGCACAUAAGGUUUCUCCUGCCAGGCCAGAGAGCAGGCCAGGAAAUGUGGGCAGUUGUAGCAAUGUCACAUUUGACCUGGUGGAAAGCCGCCUACCCACUACCCACACUUCACCCGUCUCUUACCAGAUCCUUUAUAUUAAAAUUUUAAAUGAACUCAGAAUUGAACCUAUUCUAAGAGCAGGCCUAGUCCCAUAUUUGUGGCAUGUGGGGAACAGGAAAAAUGGUGGCCCACAAAUCAUGUGUCUAAAUAUAAAAAAAUUAUAGCUGAAGCUAACAAGUUAGCCUUGACAGGCCAGUUAGCCUUUCCUACCUUGACAGAUAUAUGUUUAUAAUGACCUAUAAAAUCAGUUUGAUUGAUGCAAAACUCCUCAGAGCUCCACACCAGAAUGUGGUGGUUCCAGGAAAGCACUUCUGGCCUGAUGUCAUUUCCCACUCGCAGGCCUGGCCCAUAUCAUAAAGGGCCUUAUAUACACACGACGAUGAUCCCACCCCACAUACGUCCAAGCUCCUGCCACUUCGGCACCCCCUCACAGCCACCGCUUUGGGCCUGUGGUACCACACCAAUGGCACGGUCUCCCUUUGGAAGGGUAGAUCAGGAAAAGAGGUUCAUACCAGUCCUGGAAGCAGGGACUUUGGCAGGGAAUUCUGGACCUAAAAGCAGAGCAAGGAUCUGAGUGAAUAAAUCACUUGGCCUGUGGAUUCCUCACCCAGUGAAGAGGAAUGACCAGAAGAGAGCAACAGUAGAGCUGUCUAAAGAGUGGGCCCCACGGAGGGGCCUCUUGCCAAGACCUAAGAGCAAAUGCUAUCCGGCCAAAUAAUAAAUCAGCCAAAAGUGUGAGUUAAUACUGGAGACGGCACAAAUCUGGAUACCAUAAAUAAUUUCACUUCAGCUACAAGGCACAGAGGCAUGAGCGAUUUCAAGUGUUAUGUCUGCUGCCUCCCACAAAUAACUUACUCUGGGCAGUAGGCGUGGUCUCCAGUAGGUGUAAAGGCCAGAAACCAAAUGAAUAAGCUCUGUAAUUAAAUAUUUUACUCAAGAGGCUGAGCUCCCAUAAAAAAAGCAGAUACCAAAGCUCUAGGUGGUGACCCUAGGUUGGGUACCCCUACUAUUGCCUCCCCAAAAUGGACCAAGUGGGUAGAAGGAGAGAUUCCCCGGGCCCCUGGGCGUGUGCUGCAUUGGUCUUUGUGGAGAGGUCCUUGGGUCAGCUGAGGUUUCGAGGGGCCGUGGGACAAAACAGACCCCUCUGUCCACAUCGCUUCCCUUAGAGUCAGAGCCAUGAUCCCAGUCCUGGGGCUUGAAAUGCAAAGAGGUUAACAUUACAAGCUCCCGUAUUAACUCAUCGAUCAACUUUGUUUAAAUUAAUGAUUUACAACAUUUAAUUUUAAGGGAACCAUGUCCACAUCUAAAAAGUAU